rnacentral:pre_miRNA from 1 species
UUUUAUGAAUGAACAAAAAGAGUGGCUUUCUGAGAUGGAAACUACCCUUGGUGAAGAUGCUAUGAA